ensembl:lncRNA
AAACCAUGUCUGCUGUAGUGCUUGGCAUUUUUGCGGUUUGACUGGCACUUCCUGUCCUGAACGAGAAGCACGGCUGCAGUAAAGAACAUUCCUACAGUCUUCUAGAUGUUUCUGUUAUUUUCCUUCUUUUUAUUAGUUCAGUUUGUUGAAUGAAAAAAAUAUCCGCUUCGUAAGUAAGUCUCUAAUGUAUUUAUUUAGUCUUUAAAUGAGCGUUGUUUGUUCACUGGCAUAAUAACAGCAGGCGUAUGCCUAAUUGUAGACUUAAGGCAUGUUUUGUAUGAGAUGAUUCACAGAGAGUGAAAUGGGACUGUAGGUACUAGUAGAAGAACCACAAGCCAAUUUCAACGCUAGCUAAUACUUGCAGUACAACCACAAGGUUACACUGUCUCAUUCGACGUCCCCACACAGUACACGCAUGUGCACUCACACAAACAUAUGCUGAACAAACACACUGAACCCCCCCCACACACACACAUGUCCGCAUCACCUUCCAUGCUUAUGUGCACCUAUGGAAUGUAACAACCGUACAUUGACUAUAGCUCAGCCUUCAACUCAAUAGUAACCCUCCAAGCGCAUCAUUAAGCUCCGGGCCCUGGGUCCGGACCCCACCCUGUACCACUGGGUCCUGGUCUUCCUGACGGGCCGAACCCCAGGGGGUCAAGGGUCAGAAACAACACCUCUACUUAGCUAAUCCUCAAUAUGGGCCCCACAAGGAUGUGUGCUCAGCCCCUCCUGUGCUCCCUCUUCACCCAUGACUGCGUGGCCACGCACGCCUCCAACUCAAUCAUCAAGUUUUCAGACGACACAACAGUAGUAGGCAUGAUUACCAACAAUGACAAGACGGCCUACAGGGAGGAGGUGAGGGCCCUGGCGGAGAGGUGCCAGGGAAAUAACCUCUCCCUCAACGUCAACAAAAUGAAGGAGCUGAUCGUGGACUUCAGGAAACAGCAGAGUGAGCACGCCCCUAUCCACAUCGACGGGACCGCAGUGGAGAAGCAUCCUGUUACAGGGCUGGCUGUGUCAAAGGACAGACAGAUGUUCUGGAAUGCGCGGACAUCACACCAACAUUCCAUUUCAUCGCUACAGGGGCACAUGUGAGAAGAAUCUCUCUCUUUGACAAGCUGAACCCCCCCCACCCCCCCAAAAUACAUAUCUAAACCACCACCUUGAUGGAAAGACAAGAGAACCCCACAGACAUUUAAACAAUUUUAAAAAUAUUUUGGACUAAUAUUUUUAUGGGAUUUUUUUUCUUCUUCAACCAAUUGGAUAAAUUCUUUAAAUAUGUCACUUUCCAAAACAAAGCAUUCUCAUAGAUCAUCAUAUAACGAUAACAUUCUAGAAUGUGGAAAGAGGAAGGAAGGAAGCGAUGAUUUCUUAAGAUUGACAUACAGUAUCUAUCAUCUACAGGAGUACACACACACAUACACACAUGUACUUGGACAUAAAUAGCCAUGUAAAUAUAUUUAAACAUCCAGGCCCAGCCCCCCUGGACACAAGCCCAUCCUCCCUAGGCACAGGCCAGGCCGAACCCCCUGGACACAGGCCCAUCCUCCCUGGACACAGGCCAGGCCGAACCCCCUGGACACAGGCCCAUCCUCCCUGGACACAGGCCAGGCCCAGCACCCUGGACACGGGCCAGGCCCAGCACCCUGGACACGGGCCAGGCCCAGCACCCUGGACACGGGCCAGGCCCAGCACCCUGGACACGGGCCAGGCCCAGCACCCUGGACACGGGCCAGGCCCAGCACCCUGGACACGGGCCAGGCCCAACACCCUGGACACGGGCCAGGCCCAACACCCUGGACACGGGCCAGGCCCAACACCCUGGACACGGGCCAGGCUCAGCUUGGACAUUUCAAUCUAACUGUUUUCCAGUUCACUAGACUUUGGAGGGG